rnacentral:rRNA from 1 species
GACGGAGGGUGCGAGCGUUGUCCGGAAUCACUGGGCGUAAAGGGCGCGUAGGCGGCCCCGCAAGUCGGGCGUGAAAGCCCGGGGCUCAACCCCGGAGGUGCGCCCGAGACUGCGGGGCUCGAGGCCGGGAGAGGGGGGUGGAAUACCCAGUGGAGAGGUGAAAUUCGUAGAUAUUGGGUGGAACACCGGUGGCGAAAGCGGCCCCCUGGCCCGGUCCUGACGCUGAGGCGCGAAAGCGUGGGGAGCAAACAGGAUUAGAAACCCCCGUAGUCC